rnacentral:lncRNA from 1 species
GAAGAUGGUGAGGGAGUGAAGGAAUAGGAACGCGGAGCGGCGGAGGCGGCAUGAGAAGUGUUUUCAUCCAAAUCUGAUGAUGGUUGCUCACAAAUCUCUUCCUUGAAGGUGGAAGCUCUUGAUAUUCCUUGCCUUCUCCUAUAUGCCAUUGUUAAUUACUACAUCCACCACCAAGUACUGCCACCACCACCUUGAUGAGAAAACAAACAGGCAAAGUGCAACCCUGAUCUCUCUCCCAUUAAUUCAAGUUUCAACUCUUUUUUCCCUUUUUGUCAUCAUCAAAUAACAAAACACACAAGUGGG